rnacentral:rRNA from 1 species
GGUGAACGCUGGCGGUAGGCCUAACACAUGCAAGUCGAACGGCAGCACAGUAAGAGCUUGCUCUUACGGGUGGCGAGUGGCGGACGGGUGAGGAAUACAUCGGAAUCUACUUUUUCGUGGGGGAUAACGUAGGGAAACUUACGCUGAUACCGCAUACGACCUACGGGUGAAAGCAGGGGAUCUUCGGACCUUGCGCGAUUGAAUGAGCCGAUGUCGGAUUAGCUAGUUGGCGGGGUAAAGGCCCACCAAGGCGACGAUCCGUAGCUGGUCUGAGAGGAUGAUCAGCCACACUGGAACUGAGACACGGUCCAGACUCCUACGGGAGGCAGCAGUGGGGAAUAUUGGACAAUGGGCGCAAGCCUGAUCCAGCCAUACCGCGUGGGUGAAGAAGGCCUUCGGGUUGUAAAGCCCUUUUGUUGGGAAAGAAAAGCAGCAGGUUAAUACCCCGCUGUUCUGACGGUACCCAAAGAAUAAGCACCGGCUAACUUCGUG